GUGCCAGCCGCCGCGGUAAUACGGAGGGUGCAAGCGUUGUUCGGAAUUACUGGGCGUAAAGCGCGCGUAGGCGGUUUUAUAAGUCAGAUGUGAAAGUCCACGGCUCAACCGUGGAAGUGCGUUUGAAACUGUAUUACUUGAGUACUGGAGGGGGUGGUGGAAUUCCCGGUGUAGAGGUGAGAUUCGUAGAUAUCGGGAGGAAUACCGGUGGCGAAGGCGACCACCUGGCCAGAUACUGACGCUGAGGUGCGAAAGCGGGGGGAGCAAACAGGAUUAGAUACCGGUGUAGUCC
rnacentral:rRNA from 1 species